rnacentral:rRNA from 1 species
GCAGCAGCCACGGUAAUACCAGCACCUCGAGUGGUCAGGAGGUUUAUUGGGCCUAAAGCAUCCGUAGCCGGUUGCAUAAGUUUUCGGUUAAAUCUAUGCGCUUAACGUAUAGGCCGCCGAAAAUACUGUGCAGCUAGGGAGUGGGAGAGGUACACGGUACUCGAUAGGAAGGGGUAAAAUCCUUUGAUCUAUUGAUGACCACCUGUGGCGAAGGCGGUGUACCAGAACACGUUCGACGGUGAGGGGUGAAAGCUGGGGGAGCAAACCGGAUUAGAUACCCCAGUAGUCCCUGUCUCUUAUAC